rnacentral:piRNA from 1 species
UGCUGCAGCUCUAGAGAUACAAACAUGAAA